CCUACGGGUGGCAGCAGUGGGGAAUAUUGGGCAAUGGGCGCAAGCCUGACCCAGCAACGCCGCGUGAAGGAAGAAGGCUUUCGGGUUGUAAACUUCUUGUGUCAGGGAAGAGGAGAAGACGGUACCUGACGAAUAAGCCACGGCUAACUACGGGCCAGCAGCCGCGGUAAUACGUAGGUGGCAAGCGUUGUCCGGAUUUACUGGGUGUAAAGGGCGUGUAGCCGGGUUGACAAGGCAGAUGUGAAAUCCUGCGGCUUAACCGCAGAACUGCAUUUGAAACUGUUGAUCUUGAGUACUGGAGAGGCAGCCGGCCUUCCUAGUGUAGCGGUUCACUGCGUAGCUCUUAGGCGGAACCCCAGUGGC
rnacentral:rRNA from 1 species